rnacentral:lncRNA from 1 species
GCAGAAAGGAGAAAGAAGGUAUCUAAAGUAAAUGGCCUUAUGUAUAAUCCUGAAUUAUAAAUGGCUGAAGAGGAACAGCCCCAGUCUGCAGCGCCCAGGGAGACCAACGCAGAAGGCAGAAAGUUUCAGAAAGGUGAUGAAAUUUAAGCUGGGCUUUAAAGGCUACAUCAAAUUUGACAAAUGGAAUUGUGAGGAAAGCACAUUAGAAGUAAAGAGUGAACCCACAAAAACAAGAGAACAUCAUGUUUCUAGAGGCUGCCUGCAUUCCUUGGCUAAUGACUUUGCAUCACUCUGACGUCUUGCUCCCAUGGUCGUAUCACCUACUACUGGCCCUGAUCUCACUACUUGUUAUAUGGAACAAAGGGAUAAGGAAGUGACUUGCCUAAGUCACUGAGGAACCUAAUAUUGAGAUUAGCACUCAAUGAUUCCUGGCUCUCAGAAUGUGUGCUGCUACCACCAGGCCACACUCUUCCCUCCAGAGAGAAGAUGUGUCAGCACGGAAUUGUGCUGAAGCAAAGAUGUGAAAUAGAAUGAUUACAUAUCUACCUAGUGGGAAGAUCUGGGGAAGAAUCUAUCAGUGCUGGCAGAGAAGCAAACCAUACGACAUCACUCAUCCCCAGAAAGUGAAGUUAAGGGAAAUAAAAAACAAUCUACACCAUUUAGAAAACACAGCCACCCCAUACCCUUGGAAAAAAUACACUAAAAUAUCUUCAUCUGAUUUGACCUCUAAUAACAUGAAUAAUUGUCUUAUAACUCACUUUCUUACCUCUUGAUUAUUCUACAGAUCCGGCACAUAUGAGCAAAAUCUGAUGAAAUUCACUCAUUUAAUUUGAAGAUUUUAAUUAUGUAGAAAAA